GGCCCGGUACAGUGGCCAGGUCGUCAUCACACCCGUACGGGGGGAAGCCGGUGCAAUUCCGGCGCUGACCCGCAACCGUGAAGCUGCCUGGGAGGGCGGCCAGCCGGACUGCUCCGUACGGU
rnacentral:ncRNA from 2 species